rnacentral:rRNA from 1 species
CUCCAAUAGCGUAUACUAAAAGUUGUUGCAGUUAAAAAAGCUCGUAGUUGAAUUUCUGGUCUCGGACAUCGGUCUGCCUCGAACGAGGUACGUACCAGUUGUCUGAAUCCAUCCUCGGGGGAAAACAUGUCUGUCAUUCAGUUGAUGGGCAUGGGGAUCCUCGUCAUUUACUGUGAGCAAAAAUAGAGUGUUCAAAAGCA